rnacentral:rRNA from 1 species
UAGGGAAUCUUCCACAAUGGACGAAAGUCUGAUGGAGCAACGCCGCGUGAGUGAAGAAGGUUUUCGGAUCGUAAAACUCUGUUGUAAGGGAAGAACAAGUACAGUAGUAACUGGCUGUACCUUGACGGUACCUUAUUAGAAAGCCACGGCUAACUACGUGCCAGCAGCCGCGGUAAUACGUAGGUGGCAAGCGUUGUCCGGAAUUAUUGGGCGUAAAGCGCGCGCAGGCGGUCCUUUAAGUCUGAUGUGAAAGCCCACGGCUCAACCGUGGAAGGUCAUUGGAAACUGGGGGACUUGAGUGCAGAAGAGGUUAGUGGAAUUCCAAGUGUAGCGGUGAAAUGCGUAGAGAUUUGGAGGAACACCAGUGGCGAAGGCGACUAACUGGUCUGUAACUGACGCU